rnacentral:rRNA from 1 species
UACAGAGGUCUCAAGCGUUGUUCGGAUUCAUUGGGCGUAAAGGGUGUGUAGGUGGCGCCGUAAGUCGGGUGUGAAAUUUCGGAGCUUAACUCCGAAACUGCAUUCGAUACUGCGGUGCUUUGAGGACUGGAGAGGAGACUGGAAUUCACGGUGUAGCAGUGAAAUGCGUAGAUAUCGUGAGGAAGACCAGUGGCGAAGGCGGAUCUCUGGACAAAUCCUGACGCUGAGGCGCGAAGGGCUAGGGGAGCAAACGGG